GUUUCUUCUUCCCGUAGCUCAUAAUAGGCGUGGAGCGCGGCAUCUUCUUAUCUUUGGGUCUUCCGGUUCGCAGUCUCAGUGCGGCAUAUAUCUCGACGCGGAUCUGCGAUUUCUCUAACGAAUCUUCGUACAAGACACACAAUAUUUAUAUCCACUGAAUACAUUUUCUUCAUAUACCAAAAUAACAAAAAGAAAGAAGAGGAACAGAAAAUUGUGAAAAAAUAAGGAAAACACAAGAAGCUGAUCUUUGACGGAGCCGUAGGAGCAUCGGCAAACGUACAAAUCAAAAAGUAAAAACGGUACAGUUAGAAAACACGAAAAAUGGACACAACACAUUGCAGAAGAGGAAAAUGUACGUGAGAUACAGCGUGAAAACCGGAACCAUAGUGGACGAUCAAUGGUGUAUGAUCGAGGUUGGCGGACAUCGUCGCACAAGUUACACAGAUUAUCAUAAAAGUCAUACAUAGAGAAUAAAUGCAUUCGUGUGCAAGUGCAGUGGCAAAAUCGAACGGAAGGUGUGAGCAUAAGGUAAAAAAGUAUUUAAUUCUGAAGGAACACGUAAUCGUCGAUGGUGCGACGAGCAAUUCAAACUGCACGAUACAAGAGUUGCACAAAAGGUGUAAAGAAAUAAAAUAAGGUGUCGGAAGGCAACAACGAAAUCAAUGAUAUAAAAUUAACGUUUUGUGGAAAUAUGGUGAUUUAUACGAGAGGGAAAAAGCAAGCUAAUACAGUAUGA